AGUGAACGCUGGCGGUAGGCCUAACACAUGCAAGUCGAACGGCAGCACAGUAAGAGCUUGCUCUUACGGGUGGCGAGUGGCGGACGGGUGAGGAAUACAUCGGAAUCUACUUUUUCGUGGGGGAUAACGUAGGGAAACUUACGCUAAUACCGCAUACGACCUACGGGUGAAAGCAGGGGAUCUUCGGACCUUGCGCGAUUGAAUGAGCCGAUGUCGGAUUAGCUAGUUGGCGGGGUAAAGGCCCACCAAGGCGACGAUCCGUAGCUGGUCUGAGAGGAUGAUCAGCCACACUGGAACUGAGACACGGUCCAGACUCCUACGGGAGGCAGCAGUGGGGAAUAUUGGACAAUGGGCGCAAGCCUGAUCCAGCCAUACCGCGUGGGUGAAGAAGGCCUUCGGGUUGUAAAGCCCUUUUGUUGGGAAAGAAAAGUAGCAGGUUAAAACCCCGCUGUUCUGACGGUACCCAAAGAAUAAGCACCGGCUAACUUCGU
rnacentral:rRNA from 1 species